UACGUAGGGUCCGAGCGUUGUCCGGAAUUAUUGGGCGUAAAGGGCUCGUAGGCGGUUUGUCACGUCGGGAGUGAAAACUCAGGGCUCAACCCUGAGCGUGCUUCCGAUACGGGCAGACUAGAGGUAUGCAGGGGAGAACGGAAUUCCAGGUGUAGCGGUGAAAUGCGUAGAUAUCUGGAGGAACACCGGUGGCGAAGGCGGCAUCCUGGACCAACACUGACACUGAAAAGCGAAAGCCAGGGGAGCAAACGGG
rnacentral:rRNA from 1 species